ACGUGAAAAUAUCGCUUCCCGUAUGAUCAUCGAAGUUAAGCAACGUCAGGUCUGGUCAAUACUAAGACGGGUGACUUCUUGGGACACCAGGUGCU